UGUUUUUUUUUGUUUUAGGUUUAUUUAUAAAAGAUCGUAUAAUUCUUUGAUUGUUUGGCCACUGGGUCCAGCAGGCAAUGUCUAAAUAUAUUUUUAGCAAAGAGAGGCGUGUACACAGUAUGGAUAGACGACAGCACUCCAAGUAAUAGCGAGGGAAAGAGCCAGAGAGAGAUAGAGAGAGAGAGAGAGAGAGCUAACUUGACCUGGCCUAAUCUUUCGAGACACUUGCUCAAAACAAGAAAAACAACAAGCAGAACUGACAAGCGGCCCUGCAUCAAGUGCAUGUCAGGGCUAAUGAGGCCUCAGAGAAAUGCUACAAAACUUUUCACACUCGCCGACAGCAACAGUGACUGCUGGCUGUGUACAACAUAUAGAUAUACGUAUACUUACGUACGUACAUGUUGUUGACGCCCACGCGGCGCUUUAUUUUCCAUAAUUUAUUUAAAUAGUUCCGCUUUAAUGAUAUAUUUAAUGUUUGUAAAUAAAUUUGUUAAAAAUAGUACGCGCCUAACAUCAACCGCAGCAGCAGCAGCUAUAGGUAAAAUUCGAAAAUUCUUAAUUACGCGAAAAAAAAAAGACAGAAAAAAUAAAAAUGCAGAGAGAACAAAUUGUAGUGUUGUAAAAGUAAAAAUGUUGUUGCUGCCGGCUUUCAAGGUAAGGUCAAGGCAAGCGCCGACGCAAAAGCCAAGCGAAAAUAUAUAAACAUUAAUCAAAAAUGUAAUCAUAAUAUUGGUCGCUGGAAAAGUCGUUGAACGUAUUGACCGAGCGGAGGGCACCUGUUGCGGGCACUGCUCGACUAGCAAAUACCCUGAACCGAACAUUUUAGAUUAUAAUUGAUAUUUAUUAUAUGUAUAGAAAUAUGCACACAAAUUACGCAGUAGUGAUGCUUCUUAUACUUAAACUGUAUGAAAGAUGAUUCGCUCGGAAUAAAAUUUUGAAUUUAAAUACAAAAAUGUAUAUAUUGAAAUAUCAA